AACACAAUUUGUCAUUUAAAAGGAUUGAUUUUCACUUCACUUUGUUCAGUUUCAGAAGAGCCACUUGCCUGAAGUAAUUUAUAUGGUUUGCAAAAUAUAUUUGAUUUGAAAAUUGAAUAUAAAUAUAAAUCACAACAGUGAUUUGCUUUGGCAACAGUGUCUAAUUCUGGAGAGUCAUAUAAAUACUAUAAUACUAUACUACUGUUUUGUAUAUUAUCAAUUUGUUUUCUUUGCUUAUACUGGCCCGCCUGUUAACGAAUGGAAUGCAGCAUUUAUUUUUUCUUGUACGUGUUUUAUGUGCUUAGUGUGUAUAAUUUUUAGAUCAAAAACUAAUCUGAGGUAAGGUAAGGAAUCUUCCUACUGAGCUCUCGGAGCUUCAGGCGAGUCAUUACCGAUGUGAGUGGCCAAAGCUGGGCACUUGAGAGUUUGGUCACAGUGGAGCCGCUCAAUAACAGCAAACACAUAAUAAAACUUUUCUGGCUUGUGUGUGUAUGUGUUUGUCUACCGGAUGGAAAUGCCGCUGUAAUUUUGCAUACUUUUAAGUGCAAAGAUCCUGUGUUAUGAUAAAGCAGUUUAUGAAUGAUCAACAGUUUGAAGAUAGCGUUAAUCGAAGACAAAGAAGACAAUUAUUUAUUUCAGUUAAUUGAAUACAAAAUGGUUUUAAUUAGAUGAAUUUUAUUAUAUUUAAUUUGAAAUAUAUCGCCCCGUGCGCCUUUGCCGACGUGUUGAUAUGAAA